rnacentral:lncRNA from 1 species
AUUCUCAACUUGGGUAGUUUGCUCACUUCUCUUGCUAACUCCUAUUGCCCACCACCGCAUGUCAAACCACCUCAUGCAAAGCCUCCUCCUCAUGUACCCACGAAACCACCUCAUGUUAAACCACCCAUUGUAAAGCCACCUCCCUAUCCGAAACCUCCUGUUCCCAAACCACCUCCCCAUCCCAAACCUCCUGUUGUGAAACCACCACCUGUUGUAGUGCCAAGCCCACCACCAACACCAACACCAACCCCAGUUGUCCCAGUGAAGCCUCCUCCACCCACCGAAACACCAUGCCCUCCUCCACCACCAAAGUUAGUACCACCACCACCAUCUCCACCAAAGGACACGUGUCCCAUCGACACCCUAAAAUUGGGAGCUUGUGUAGAUGUGUUGGGUGGUCUUAUCCACAUUGGAAUUGGAAGCAGUGCCAAAGAUACAUGUUGUCCGGUGCUUCAGGGACUGGUGGACUUGGACGCUGCUAUUUGCCUUUGCACCACCAUCAAGGCUAAGCUUCUCAAUGUCAACCUCAUCAUCCCCAUUGCUCUUCAGGUGCUCAUUGCUUGUGGGAAGACUCCUCCCUCUGGAUUCCAGUGUCCUGCAUAGAUGAUCAUCAUAUCUUAUUCCUAAAUCACACUUAGUAGUUGUUAAUCAUGUCAUCAUUAGUGAUAUGUGGCGCCGGCUAGCUGAUAAUAAAGCAUGUCAAAGCUUGGAAGUAAAAACUACAUGAGGAUAAAUCUGUUAUUCGUUUUUGUUUUGUUUUGUUUACUUGAAGAGUGUAUCAGAUCGAUAGACUGGUAAUUUAGUCAUGUUAUUUUCUUGAACCUUGGAAGUAUAUAUAAUAACCUGAGUUUAAAGAAGACCUUCAUUUUUCACCGUUCGUCAAUCUCCUGUAGAGGACUUACAUGGAACACCACCACCGUGCCCGUGACAUCAUGGUCUAAUAAUACAACUUCAUUUGUAAUUAAAGAAACUCACAUAUGACAUUAUAUUAUUGAACUGAGACACUAGUGUAAAUAUUUUAAAUUGAUGAUAGGAUUCUUCACUAUAUUCUUAUAGAGUCGAGUAGUAGUUUUAUAAAAUCAUCAAAAUUAGAGCUCAAAUAACCAUUAAAUUAUGAUUUUUUCGUUUCUAACCGUCGAAGAAUUUCGUCCUGUUACCUAAUAUAGUAAUACUGGUGAUUUUUGGUGUGUGCAAUCUUAGAGUAUAUACAAAUAAGUUUGACAGCUUGAUUGUUGAAAUUAAUUUUGCAGACAUCGAAAAUCAUCUAAGGAACUAAAUACGCCAAUCAUGUCUGUUACCUCUGCCUUAUGAAAUAUAUGUUGGAAAAUAUUAGUAUUUAGGUUUAUUUUAGUAUUUGGGUUUUGCUUGUUAGUUUAGGAUUUGUGCUUAGCCCAUCCGAGUUAGGGUUUCGUAGGUUUAGUUCUCUAUAAAUAGAGCUUGUAAUUUAGUUUGACAAUAAGUUAGCCACAAUGUAGUCUCUUAGGGUUUUGUAGCCGCUUCGGCAUUCUCAGUUUGUUUAAUAAUAUUCUUAUUAUUUGUUAGUCUUGUUUGUUGCGCACUGAUAUUCAACUUGGUAUCAGAGUAGGUUUGAUUCUUCGGGAUCUAAUCUGCUUCUGUUUGUUCGUAUCAGUUUUAUUUCUUUCCAGUUUCCAUCCGUAAAUUUUUUACGUUUUCUGGUUUGGUUUUUCAGUUUGUCCUUGGUAGUCUUCAAGAAAGGAAAAAAAAAUUCUGUUUUUGAAAAAAAAGAAUUUGGUGAAUUUGUCUCACACCCAAAUUUGAAAAUGCUCCAUCGCACUAAGAUUUCUGCAUUCCCCAGCCCCACCUUGCAUCUGGAUCCGUCCACAACCGUACACCUGCGAAAAAAAAGAAACAAGAAAAAAGAAAGGCUAAUGUUGCUGGUUGGUUCACACAGAAGAAAAAUAAGGAAGGAAGAAGGAAGAAAAAAAAAGCGGGGGGGAAAAGGAAGGAAAAAAAAUUGGUUGUUUUGAGGUUUUGUUGCCCUCGUAUUCUUGCAUUGGGUAUGGUAUUGGAAUUUGGCAUUGGGCAUGGUAUUGGAAUUUGGCAUUGGUAUUGGUAUUGGCAUUGGCAUUGGUACUGGUAUCGGCAUUGACAUCUGCAUUGGCAUUGGCAUUGGCAUUGGCAUUGGCAUUGGCAUUGGCAUCGGCAUCGUCAUUGGUAUUGGCAUCGGCAUCGGCAUCGGCAUUGGUAUUGGUAUUAGCAUCGGCAUCGGCAUUGGCAUCGGCAUCGGCAUCGGCAUCGGAAUUUGGAGGCUUGCAUCCACAUCUGCUUGUUGGCAAACUCAUGUCGUGUACCACCAUGAGUUUGACGGGAGGUGUUGGAAAAUAUUAGUAUUUAGGUUUAUUAUAGUAUUUGGGUUUUGCUUGUUAGUUUAGGAUUUGGGCUUAGCUCAUCCGAGUUAGGGUUUCGUAGGUUUAGUUCUCUAUAAAUAGAGCUUGUAAUUUAGUUUGACAAUAAGUUAGCCACAAUGUAGUCUCUUAGGGUUUUGUAGCCGCUUCGGCAUUCUCAGUUUGUUUAAUAAUAUUCUUAUUAAUUGUUAGUCUUGUUUGUUGCGCACUGAUAUUCAACUAUAUAAACCCUAAUUACAACAUAUACCUUUGAGUGACGAAAGCUGGAAGGUUCGUCGUGUAAAGGUUGCCAUUUUAUGUGCCAAACUUUUAUCUUGGUGCGAAAACUUUAACCCACGACGUAAGCUUUGCUCGUCGAACUCUGUUCGCCGGGCAAAAGCAUCUGCAAAAACCAAAACGUUUGACCGUUUUGCUCGACAAACGUUUAUUUUGUCAGGUAAAGACUAUUUGGCCGACAAAAUACCGUUCGUCUAGCAAAACUUUGUCAGAAAAAUGGUAAUUUCUGGUUAUGUAUGAUAAAACUUUGUCGGACAAAUGAUAAUUUUUGGUAGUGUAUCAUAUAUAUAUAUAUAUAUAUAUAUAUAUAUAGAGGUUUCUCUCCCUUGUGUGUGUAUGUCUGUAUCUGUUGAUAUAGCGUGUUUGCAGGUUCACGUGAAUGUGUAGACUGUAGUGCAUUGAAUUAUUUUAAUUGCAUUCGUUUGUAAGAUAUCAGUAGGAAUAAAAUAUCAACGUCAAGGCUUAAAAAAAAAUAUCAACGUCAGGUACCACAUGUAAGAUACAUGCAACACGUACAACUUUCUUAUGGAUUUUGGAAGUUUGUCUAUAUUUAUACCAAGGCUUCCAAAAAUACGAGCCUUCUCCUCUCCUGCAUCCAAGUCCUGCUGAACAAGGAAGAAAAUAUCGGUAAUAUCGGAAAUAUCGGUAGUCCGAAAACAUGGAAAUAUCGAUGGAAAUAUCGGGAUAAUAUCGAUAUCGAUAAAAAUUACAUGGAAACCACGGAAAUUGUAAGAAAAACUUGGAAAUUUUUAUUAAAACUUUGCAGGAUGUUUAUUUAGUCAAUUAUCUAUUAGUUUAUCACAAAAAAAUUGGAAGGAAAUGCAUUGCAUGAUGGAUUUAACUGAUUUAAGUUGAUUAUAUAGCGAGCUGGCAAACAUUGUGAGUGUAGAAAAUAUAUAAUAAUUAAUGAAAGAAGUUUAAACACACCAUAAUCAUUUAUAUAUAAUGAAUUAGUACAAUAUUUUACACUUUAUACAUUGCAUGGUAAGAUACAUGAGUGACUAAGUACCACAUAGAGUUCCUAUGAGGUUCAAAAUUUUCACUAUCUUCAUCAUCACUAUGUGUAGAGUAAGUGUAUUGUGAAGAGUAGUUAGCAACCAUGGCAAUGACUUUCAAGAACCGAAACCCAAAAGUCAAUAGGAAACCGAAUACUUCGGUAUUUUUCGGGAUUUCAGGAUUACCAAACAAAUGGGAUUUGGAAAACCAAUCCCAUAUCGAAAAUUUCGGUAUUUUUCGGGAUGGUUUUGGUUUGGGACUUUUUCGGUUUGGUUUGGGAUUUUCGGGAAUUUUUUCCAACCAUACAUGUAAGUGACCAAAUAAAAAAUAGAAAAAUUAAAAACCACAUGCCAUUGACUAAGUAAUUAAUUGACACAAUUUAAAAUAUAAUACCACAAAAAAUUUGGAAUAUGUGCAAAUUUGUUUCUUGCAAAAAGAAUUCAAAACAAAACCAUAUAUAUAAAUAGUUUAGCAUGUUUUCACAAAAACGUAAGUGGUAUAGUGGUCAAGUUGCUGAAGGAGUUAGAUGGGAGGGGUUCGAAUCACUUUAUGUGCAUGUUUGAGACUUUUCAGAAAUUUUCAAAUAUUUUUAGGUUCAUCUCGCGAUAUAUAAUAUCGCGAUAAUAUCGAUAUUAUCGCGAUAUAUUAACGAUAAUUAUAAAAAUACUCACGAAAUAUCGUUAUAUGAAAAAACGAUAAUAUCGGCGAUAUUAUCGAUUUUUAAAUCUAUGCUGCUGAAUCACAUCCACCAAAUCCAAAGGGGAUUGGGAAUAUAAUUGCUCCAUCACACUCAAUUAUUGUUCGUGUAAUGUUUUCUUUGCACAACAUUUUAAUUCAAAUUUCACCAUGUUUUUUUAUGUUUCAAUUAUUUGAUCAAUUUAUUGGAGGAAAAAAAAACACAGGUUAGCGAUCGUACGAUCGAUAUCGACCACCAUAUCGACAAUACAGAGGGAAAAAGAAUAAGACAUGUCAUCACCUAACAUUUUUAAUAAUGUCACUAAAACAUUUCAAGUUCCAAUUCAAUCAACCUUUCCUGUCAGCAACAUAUGUCUCGCACCGACCUCUCAACACAAAGCACUUAUGUCACUCCUACGAGAAAUUCUAAGAUCCGACCGAACAAGCCAAGACACAAAAAACCCUUCCCCUAUCCCACCCCGAUUUUAACAUGUUAACCUGGCCUGCUUUUAGUCUCACUCUCCUCUCACACCACCUCCAAGUCGAAUGUCCUAGCUACACAAAAAUCUGUCUCCAGUCUUUUUAUAAUCCUGCUCUGGUAACCUCAGUUGAAUGGCAGGAUAAAUUUGAAUGGGGGGAGGAAAAAAAACCGCUAAAUUAUGUGUCGGAUCAUUUGUGCAUCAUGUAGUACUCAAAUUAAUGUGGUGUAAAAUGUGGUUUCGUUAGUAGUUUGAUGCCUCAGGUUUUCUGCUUUCUUUUGGUAAUCACAUUAUUAUAGCGCACCACUUAAUUAGCACACCAUUUGAUAACUCCCUAGCUAGUAUAUACGUAAUUUUUUUAUCUCAUUCAUUUUUCUUCCUAGUCUCUCUUCUUUUCAUUUCUUUUUUUCCAAUUAGAGGAAACAAUGCUAAGAUAUAUAAUUUUGAUAUGAACCCUAAACCGUAAUUUUAUAUAUGAACCAUAAACCCCAAGUUUUUAUCUGAUCAUUUUGGUGGAAAUAAUCUUUUUUUUUUUUGUUUAAAACGAACAAAAUUGUUUGUAGGGCGAGUUUUGAAAAAUUCAGUGAUUCACAAAUAAAGAUGGGCGUCCACAUAUUUGUAAACUUUGGCAAGGCUGGGUUGUCAAGGAAAUAGGUGUCCAGAGGCAAUGUUUGGGUGUAAACAGAACUACUCAUAUCAAACUCACGAAAACAUCCUUGAAUAUUAUUGGGCUACAUGCGCGAAAACAUUUGAACUACCCUUAUCUAAAUUUCCCCCCUUACUCCUGAGCAGAGUAAAACCCUGGUCAUUUCUUGAGGAAGAAGACGACGACGAAUUGGAGAAAAAUAGGGCGCUGAGCUGAACAGCGGCUAAAAGCAUAAAUUUUCUUUGUCCAUCUGCACGAACAGAGCGCCAGAAAAACUGGGCAAGAUCCUCAUUUUUCAACGUUUGUCUUAUUAAUUAGCUUCUGAUGAAAUUUCAUUCGCAUAUUGUGGUUUUAUCUGUUUGAUGAGAUUUUAAUGUAGAGUUUGUAUCUGUUCGAUGAAAUUUCAUUCGCAUAUUGUGGUUUUAGCAUGUGAUUGACUUGAGAUAGUAUUAGUACGACGUGUUAAUUGCAUGCGUACUUCCGUUCUUACAACUUAAGUAACUUGAACAACUUUUACAACUAAUUCUGUGGUUUGUUUUAGUGCAGAUGCAAGAAGUUUUGCGCAAUUCUUUAAACCCCAAGACACAAAACUACACAAAAGCAAAUCAAUCCACGAAUUAGAGAAGAACAGACUGAAAGCAAUAAUCACUUGGACUUGCAUUUUACGUUGGCUUCCCCAAAUAUUGAAUUCCAACCGUUCGAUGCCAGCUCUCCCUCCUCAUCACCACCGUUGGAUUCACCAGCACCGGGACAUCUCCCUCUUCCAGCCCAAAACUCCGUAUCCCUACCAAUUCCUCCACACCCACCUCUUGCAAAUCCUCCUCCAUCUAGGCCCACUUCCUCACCCAUCCCAAACCCAUCACAAAAUGGGCCUAGCCCACACCCACCAACCACAAUCCCAACCCCACCCAAAUCAGUCCUGAGCCCACCAGUCCUUCCGCCGCCAAUAGCUUUCCCUCCACCGUCCGGACCGCCAUCCCUUCCACAGAAAAAGCCACCGCAGUUUGCCGUGUAGUGCGUGGUGAAGCCGACAGUGCCGGACCCGAUAAUCCAAGAAGCCCUGGACUAUGCGUGUGGGUCCGGGGCAGACUGCAAGUCGAUCUGGCCCAAUGGGUCCUACUACCAGCCCAACACCGUAUGCUUCGUAUGCCUUCAAUAGUUACUGGCAGAACACGAAGAUCGCUGGAGGCACUUGUGACUUUGGAGGGACUGCCAUGCUUGUCACGGUUGAUCCAAGUAAGUCCAAAUUUUCCUCAUAUCAAGAUAUUAUUUUGGCAUAUUGCAUUUGAUAUUUUCGCAGAACUUUCCUUCAAGGACAAGUUGUUUCAUUCAAGGACAAGUAGUCAUUUCUUUAAAAUUUCAAACGCUAUUUUACUUUAGACUAAUCUAAAUUACGAUGGAAAAAUUAAAUAAGUUUGCCUAUGUAUCCAAAUUCCUUACUAAAUCUAGUGUACUUUGUUUUCAAAAAGUUAAUACAGAUCCGAAUCUUUUUUUUUGUUUUUUUUUGGGGUUAAGAACCCUAAUCGUUGUUAAUGGCGGGUGACAGCAUGAGAGUAUCACUUGACAAAACGAUAACUUUCGUUUACUCGAUUAUCUUGUCCUUAACUAUAAUGGUAAUCAAAUUAUAGAACUUUGAAGAAGAUAAUUAGAAGUACACGUCCAUGAGUGCAAAUUUAAUUUAUAAACCUACAAGCAGACCUACAUAUCUUAGAUUCCCAAGAAACAUAUAAUAAUUCAGUAAGCUGUAAGCUCUUUCUUUACUCGAUGACUGGAAAAUUGGACAUGGAAAACGCAUGCUACAGACGUCGAUACAGGAUGAGGAACCAUGACAAAAACUAAGUGUUUUUUUCCUCUCUUUUUCCUCAAACGAUAAACUAAUGUUUGGUAGAACAUUAUCCUGUCUUGGUUAAUAUAUUAGGAUUUAAAUAGUAACAUCCAGAAACAAAGAGAUAAUAUUGGAUGAAAAUCAACGUCUCUCUCUUCUGUAAGGGAGCAGGGUUGUUGGAAAAGGUAAUCAAGGAAAAGCCAUGCAGAACUUUGCAUUUUGAUUUGGACCCUCAAUCGAUUUCAAUUUGAUUGAGUGUACCCCUAAUGGGGAAUGAUUAAUUCUUCAAAGUUUUGCUAGCUAGCUAGCAUCACCUGCACGUAAAUGGGUGACUGUGAUAAAUCGCAAUUUAUUAUCAUUAAUAGUUAGGCAGUUGUCAAAUUAUUGAUGAAUCGAGAUUUAUGCUCCUCAAUAGCUGAAUGAUUAUCAAAUUAUUGAUGGGUUGAGAUUUACACUCAUCGACACUUGACAAUCACGCAACAAAUGUUACUAGGAAUUCUCCAAAAAAAUAUCUUACAUCGUAUUCAUUGGUGUCAUUGCUCAUCAUGUGCAUCUUUUGACCUUUACAAAAGAACCUGUCUCUAGCUAAAUUCCUAUGACUCUUACAUCUAUGAAAUAUAUGCUUAUAAAGUUUAACAAGUAGUUGCAGGUGGCCUUCUACCACAGUGAUAGAGAUGAGUGACGCCCUUGCAUGAUGGCGUGGGUUCGAACUCCGUCAAUGACAAAUUUACUUUCUAACUUAACAACAAUAUUGCUCAACUCCCAAAAAAAAAAAAAAGUUUAACAAGUAGUUAAUUAGUAAUAUUUAUCUUUCUUACUUUAAUUGUGGUGAGAUAUCUUUAGUAUUACUUUAUAUUUUCUUAUAGGGUGACCCCACACUAAAUUUGCUUAAUUUUAUCUCUUUUGCUUUAAAUUGGUGUUGCUUUGGAUGAAGGAUACAAGAUGCUAACACAUCCCUUGCAUGAUUGUGACAUGGCAGGUUAUGAUGAAUGCAAUUUCUUCUUCAACGGAUGAUCUUGAAACAUACAUACAUGUAUAUAUAUAUAUAUAUAUAUUAGCUAUUACGACAUUAAGAAAGAAAAAAAUGUUAGGAAGAUCAAAUUUGUUAGACUAUUUUUUGUAGACUCAUGAUGUGGUGGUUGAUGGUUGGACUCAUUUUUUUUAAUAAUUUAAAUAAAUAGUCUAACCAUCAAUCGCCACAUCAUGAUAGUUUAAAAUUUUAUUUAUUUUUUAGAAGAGAUCUACACACUAUGUAUACAUCACAUUUUAUUUAGGAGUUCCAUAUUUGUGAGUGCAAACGGAACUUUUGGCUGUAGAAGUAGCGGCACUUGAAAGUGAAGUUGUAUUGAUCUUCUUGUCUUCCAGUGUCCAUUUUAUGUACAUGGAAUAUACCUGUCGGUUAGCUGUUGCAUAUUCCCUUUGAGAUUUCCAGAUUGUCCAAAAACUGCAUACACACAUAUUUCUUUGAUUUAGCAGGAUUAAAAAGAAGGGUGCUUUUAUUUCACCAAUAAGAAAUAACUCAUAAUGACGAUGAUCUCAUAUAACAUUGUAGAGUCUGUUUGAUAAUUAUUCAUAUUUUAGUUUUUAUUCUAUAUGUUAAAGAUAGAACAUGAGAAAAUGCGGGCAUAGAAGAGUGGAGAAGUGAUGUUGGGAGAGAUGUAGAGAAGAUGUGUAAAGAAAGGUGUACGAAAUGAAAUCUAAAAACUAAAAUUAAAAAUUAUGUACUUUGAAUUGUUUUCACUUUCGAGAUUUUAUUUUCAUUCCUUCUUUGUUUUGUGCCGUCGCUCCCUCGACCUUUCUUCAUCCCUAAUCUCCUCAAUAUAUUUUGCCCAUAUCUCAAACAAAAUAUAAAAACUAAUAGUACAUACCCAAUGAAACUUGUUUCGUAACCAGCUAGCAUUACUACCUUUUCUUUUCCUCUCAAGAGUCGCGAUAGAAUAUCUAGCUAGAUCAAUGUUUUUGUCGACAAAGAUACCUUGCACCAAAAGUAGGCCAGCUGCUUUACCAUUUUUAGACAUACUUCAAAUGGCGUCUAGUGACCGAGAGGUUGGACUUUCACCAUUAAACACCAAUACACAGACUUGUUUGCAACAGGAAGACGAUGACAAUACAUGCAAGUGCUCAUUAUUUCAUCGGUAUUUAUAUAAAGGUAGUGCUAUCCAGACACCUAUUUUUACUUCUCACACACUAUCUUAAUUUUCGAUUGUCGGAACAAAUGAAUUGAUAAAAAUCAAAUGCCAAAAUUGAUAAGGGUGUGUGGAAACCAAAGCUAGAUGUUAAUAAUAAUAUCCUUAAUGUAAAUAAUAUCGUUGGUUAAAAUAAAAAACACUAUCCUUAGUCAAUUCUUUGGCGAACAUGACUUUUCACAUUACAAAAUAAUACAAACCCUAAUGACUUUUCAGAGGUCGUUCGAUGAUCUUUUUGUGGCAGCAAGUGAAGCAUUACUCUUAUCCUUAACUUGAAAAAAUAAAUUCAACCUAUUAUAUAUGUACAUGAUGGUUAUAUAUAUACGCACCAUGCAUGGACCAACGUCGUCUCACCCGGGCUUACACCACAUGUACUUUUUGAAAUGCAAUUUCAUGCAGCUAGGGUUAGCACCUAUAUAAAUUAAAAGAAAGAAUAAAUUACACUUUACUACUUUAAUUUUAUGUCGCAUAACAAACUCAUACAUCAUAUUUUAAACAUUGCAAUGUCAUACAUUAAAUUACGAAUUUGUUGUCAUAUCAAACUUCCGUUAAAAAAUCUGUUAAGUUAGCCGUUUAUCCACACAACCACUCAACGGUUAACUUAACAGAUUUUUUUAAUAGCGGUCCAACAUUUAACGAAUUUGUAAGUUAAUUGAUGUAAACAUUGGAAUGAUCAGAAGAUGAGAUAUAAGUUUGUUAUGUGACCCAAAAUGAGGUGGUAAAAUAUAAUUUACCCUAAAAAAAAUGUUCCUACAUCCAAAUUUCAAAAAAACAAAAUUUAAUUUCAAAAAUAUAUAGUAAGGUGUAUGGCCGACACCCAAAUGCGAAUGCAAUUGCUUCCGUCUAUUCAUAGGAAUGGCUAAACUUAAACUAAGAAAGAGGUAACACUGGUUGACUAGUCCUAUCCAAAGAAGGAAAUGAACACCCCCAUCCACACCUCCGCCCCCCCCACCCCGCAACCAAAAAAAACACCAUAUCCUUUUUAAGUUGAAAAAGUAUAGGGCCUAUUUUUGUCCCCAUGGUUUUUUCUUUUUUAUUUUUAUUUUUAUUUUUUAUACAAGAAAAUUUUGUUUGUGAAAGCAUCACAUGUGGUGGUUUUGGCAUCAUGAACCCAAAUCACGGGUCGACUAGCAAACUUCAUGUUCAAACUUUGCCUAUAUCAAAAUCCUUCCGAGUUUUCUUGAUUUCUUACCUUUAUCCUUAACCACAUAUAUGAAUAGAAAUUUGCAAGUUUACAAAAAUAUUAGAUUGAAAUUUUUUAAAUGAAUUUAAGCACACAAACACGAACAAAUGGAUUUAGUAUUGAUUCAUUCAACUUCAAGUAAUCAUUUUGCAAAUCCCUCUCAAUUCACUGUAUCUAUCAUUUCAAAUUCAUUCAUCUAAUCUUUUACAAUGCAUUUCUAAAUAAUUUAACUUAAAUUUAAUGGUACGUACAAAUCUGUCUUCCAAAGGCAUCCCAAUGCUCUUGUGUCGGAUUACUUGUAUAUCUGCUAAGCCUACUUACUGGAUAAUCUAAGUCAGGCCUAAUCGAAUUCAUCAAGUACAUUAGACUUCCAAUUACUUGAGAAUAUUCAAGUUGAGAUAUGGCAUUGCCUUUAUUUUUCUCCAACUUGCAUCCAGCAUCAAAAGAAAUUGCACCAGGUUUGCAGUGUCUAUUUUGUGUAAGGACAUACCCUUCACUAUUUCUCUUAAUGUGAAGUUGUAUUUAUCUUCUUGUCUUCCAGUGUCUAUUUUAUGUACAUGGAAUAUACCUGUCGGCUAGCUGUUGCAUAUUCCCUUUGAGAUUUCCAGAUUGUCCAAAAAUUGCGUACACACAUAUUUCUUUGAUUUAGCAGGAUUAAAAAGAAGGGUGCUUUUAUUUCACCAAUAAGUAAUAACUCAUAAUGAGGAUGAUCUCAUAUAACAUUAUUGAGUUUAUUUGAUAAUCAUUCUUUUUUUAGUUUUUAUUCUAUAUGUUAAAGAUAGAACAUGAGAAAUGUGGGCAUUGAAGAAUGGAGAAGUGAUGUUGGGAAAGAUGUAGAGAAUAUGUGUAAAGAAAGGUGUACAAAACGAAAUCUAAAAACUAAAAUUUAAAAUUAUAUACUUUGAAUUGUUUUCACUUUCGAGAUUUUGUUUUCAUUCAUUCUUCUUUGUUUUGUUCCUUCACUCCCUCGACCUUUCUUCAUCCCUAAUCUCCCCAAUAUAUUUUGCCCAUAUGUCAAACAAAAUAUAUAAACUAAUAGUACAUACCCAAUGAAACUUGUUUCGUAACCAGCUAGCAUUACUACUUUUUUUUUCCUCUCAAGAGUCGAGAUAGAAUAUCUAGCUAGAUCAAUGUUUUUGUCGACAAAGAUACCUUGCACCAAAAGUAGGCCAGCUGCUUUACCAUUUUUAGACAUACUUCAAAUGGCGUCUAGUGACCGAGAGGUUGGACUUCACCAUUAAACGCCAAUGCACAGACUUGUUUGCAAUAGGAAGAGGAUGACAAUACAUGCAUGUGCUCAUUAUUUCCUCCAUAUUUAUACAAAGGUAGUGCUAUCUAGACACCUAUUUUUCCUUCUCACACACUAUGUUAGUUUUUGAUCGUUGGAACGAAUGAAUUGAUAAAGGUCAAACACCAAAAUUGAUAACGAUGUGUAGAAAGCAAAACUAGAGAUGCUAAUAAUAUUAUCUUUAAUGUAAAUAAUAUCGUUUGUUAAAAAAAAAAAACACACACUAUCCUUAGUCAAUUCUUUGGCGAACAUGACUUUUCACAUUACAAAAUAAUACAAACCCUAAUGACUUUUCAAAGGUCAUUCGAUGAUCUUUCUGUGGCGGUAGGUGAAGCAUUACUCUUAUACUUAACUCGAAAAAAUAAAUUCAACCUAUUAUAUAUGUACAUGAUGGUUAUAUAUAUACGUGCCAUGCAUGGACCAACGUCGUCUCACGCGGCUUACACCACCAGUACUUUUUGAAAUGCAAUUUCAUGCAGCUAGGGUUAGCACCUAUGUAAAUUAAAAGAAAGAAUAAAUUAUAUUUUACUACCUCAAUUUUAUGUCGCAUAACAAACUCAUACAUCAUAUUUUAAAUAUUGUAAUGUCAUACAUUAAAUUACGAAUUCGUUGUCAUGUCAAACUUCUAUUAAAAAAUCUGUCAAGUUGGCCGUUUAUCCGCACAACCACUUAAUGAUUAACUUCACAAAUUUGUUAACCGUGGUCCAACAUUUAACGAAUUCGUAAGUUAAUUGAUGUAAACAUUGUAAUGAUCAAAAGAUGAGAUAUAAGUUUGUUAUGUAACCCAAAUAAGGUGGUAAAAUAUAAUUUACCCUAAAAAAAAGUUCCUACAUCCAAAUUUCAAAAAAUAAAAUAAAAUAAUAAUAAUAAUUUCAAAAAUAUAUAAUAAUGUGUAUGGCCGACACCAAUGCGAUUGCUUCUCAUUCAUAGGAUAGGAAUGGCUAAACUUAAACUGAGAAAGAGAAAACACUAGUUGACUAGUCCUAUGCAAGGAAGGAAAUGAACACCCCCAUCCCAAAACAAAAUCCAUAUCCUUUUUAAGUUGAAAAAGUCUGGGGCCUAUUUUUGUCCCUGUGGGCCCAUCUUUUACAUAUUAAUUAUCAAUUAGUACAUCCCAAAGCUAAACUCUAGAUUGGGAUCAAUUUUUAUUCUUCAUGUUUAUUACUUCAAUUGCUUUUUAUAAGAGACCAACCUUAUAAAGUAAGAGAACUUUUUAGUAGCGACCAAUGUAGAACAAUGAAAUUUCUACUCAAAAUUACCAACAUCUCUCUCUAUCAAGCACACACACUAACACUUAGGUCUGUCUCACUACCCAUAAAGCCUCUAUAAAGCCAUUUGCUUGGUAUUGGGUUUCAAUAUCCAGUUUUGUACCCAACUCUCUGGAGAGUUGUGGAGUUAUAGUAUUGACAUGGAGAUCAAUUAUGCUCUAGCUUUGCUCUUAGUCCUCUUUCUCAACUUGGGUAGUUUGCUCACUUCUCUUGCUAACUGCAAUUGCCAACCACCAAAGUACCCUCCAGUUCCCCACUUGCCACCAAGAAGCCACCACCGCAUGUCAAACCACCUCAUGUUAAACCACCCAUUGUAAAGCCACCUCCCUAUCCGAAACCUCCUGUUGCCAAACCACCUCCCCAUCCCAAACCCCCAGUUGUACUGCCUCCACCAUCUACCCCUAAACCCCCAACUGUAAAACCACCACCACCAUCUCCACCAAAGGACACGUGUCCUAUCGACACCCUAAAAUUGGGAGCUUGUGUAGAUGUGUUGGGUGGUCUUAUCCACAUUGGAAUUGGAAGCA